rnacentral:rRNA from 1 species
ACAGAAGAAGCACCGGCUAACUCCGUGCCAGCAGCCGCGGUAAUACGGAGGGUGCGAGCGUUAAUCGGAAUUACUGGGCGUAAAGCGCAUGCAGGUGGUUUGUUAAGUCAGAUGUGAAAGCCCGGGGCUCAACCUCGGAACUGCAUUUGAAACUGGCAGACUAGAGUACUGUAGAGGGGGGUAGAAUUUCAGGUGUAGCGGUGAAAUGCGUAGAGAUCUGAAGGAAUACCGGUGGCGAAGGCGGCCCCCUGGACAGAUACUGACACUCAGAUGCGAAAGCGUGGGGAGCAAACAGGAUUAGAUACCCUGGUAGUCCACGCUGUAAACGAUGUCUACUUGGAGGUUGUGGCCUUGAGCCGUGGCUUUCGGAGCUAACGCGUUAAGUAGACCGCCUGGGGAGUACGGUCGCAAGAUUAAAACUCAAAUGAAUUGACGGGGGCCCGCACAAGCGGUGGAGCAUGUGGUUUAAUUCGAUGCAACGCGAAGAACCUUACCUACUCUUGACAUCCAGAGAAUCUAGCGGAGACGCUGGAGUGCCUUCGGGAACUCUGAGACAGGUGCUGCAUGGCUGUCGUCAGCUCGUGUUGUGAAAUGUUGGGUUAAGUCCCGCAACGAGCGCAACCCUUAUCCUUGUUUGCCAGCGAGUAAUGUCGGGAACUCCAGGGAGACUGCCGGUGAUAAACCGGAGGAAGGUGGGGACGACGUCAAGUCAUCAUGGCCCUUACGAGUAGGGCUACACACGUGCUACAAUGGCGCAUACAGAGGGCGGCCAACUUGCGAAAGUGAGCGAAUCCCAAAAAGUGCGUCGUAGUCCGGAUUGGAGUCUGCAACUCGACUCCAUGAAGUCGGAAUCGCUAGUAAUCGUGGAUCAGAAUGCCACGGUGAAUACGUUCCCGGGCCUUGUACACACCGCCCGUCACACCAUGGGAGUGGGCUGCAAAAGAAGUGGGUAGUUUAACCUUCGGGAGGACGCUCACCACUUUGUGGUUCAUGACUGGGGUGAAGUCGUAACAAGGUAGCGCUAGGGGAACCUGGCGCUG